GCACACAAAUUUGUAGGGUGUGGUUGUA
rnacentral:sRNA from 1 species